CGCCCGCCGCGCGCGGCGGGCCUACGGGAGGCAGCAGUGGGGAAUAUUGCACAAUGGGCGCAAGCCUGAUGCAGCCAUGCCGCGUGUAUGAAGAAGGCCUUCGGGUUGUAAAGUACUUUCAGCGGGGAGGAAGGUGUUGAGGUUAAUAACCUCAGCAAUUGACGUUACCCGCAGAAGAAGCACCGGCUAACUCCGUGCCAGCAGCCUCGGUAAUA
rnacentral:rRNA from 1 species